GCGCAAGCGGGAUCAGGUAAGGGUGAAAGGGUGCGGUAAGAGCGCACCGCGCGGCUGGUAACAGUCCGUGGCACGGUAAACUCCACCCGGAGCAAGGCCAAAUAGGGGUUCAUAAGGUACGGCCCGUACUGAACCCGGGUAGGCUGCUUGAGCCAGUGAGCGAUUGCUGGCCUAGAUGAAUGACUGUCCACGACAGAACCCGGCUUAUCGGUCAGUUUCACCU
rnacentral:RNase_P_RNA from 1 species